UUAGAACGUUGUGAGACAGUUCGGUCCCUAUCUACCGUGGGAGUAGGAGUUUUGAGAGGAUCUGCCCUUAGUACGAGAGGACCGGGGUGGACAUUCCUCUGGUGGAGCUGUUGUCACGCCAGUGGCAUUGCAGCGUAGCUAUGAAUGGACAGGAUAACCGCUGAAAGCAUCUAAGCGGGAAACCCCCCUCAAUACUAGAACUCCCUUGAGAGUCGUUGUAGACCACAACGUUGAUAGGCUGGGUGUGGAAGUAUGGCAACAUAUGGAGCUUACCAGUACUAAUAACUCGAUUGGCUUGAUUUUU
rnacentral:rRNA from 1 species